rnacentral:rRNA from 1 species
CAAUAGCGUAUAUUUAAGUUGUUGCAGUUAAAAAGCUCGUAGUUGGAUUUCGGUUAAGAGCGACCGGUCCGCCGUUUGGUGUGCACUGGUUGGUUUUAACUUCCUGUAGAGGACGUGCUCUGGGUCUAACGACCUGGACUCGGAGUCUACGUGGUUACUUUGAAAAAAUUAGAGUGUUCAAAGCGGGCUUACGCUUGAAUAUUUCAGCAUGGAAUAACACUAUAGGACUCCUGUCCUAUUUCGUUGGUCUCGGGACGGGAGUAAUGAUUAAGAGGAACAGUUGGGGGCAUUCGUAUUUCAUUGUCAGAGGUGAAAUUCUUGGAUUUAUGAAAGACGAACUUCUGCGAAAGCAUUUGCCAAGGAUGUUUUCAUUAA